UACGGGGGGGGGCAAGCGUUGUUCGGAAUUACUGGGCGUAAAGGCUCGUAGGCGGCCAACUAAGUCAGACGUGAAAUCCCUCGGCUUAACCGGGGAACUGCGUCUGAUACUGGAUGGCUUGAGUGUGGGAGAGGGAUGCGGAAUUCCAGGGUGUAGCGGUGAAAUGCGUGAGAUAUCUGGAGGAACACCGGUGGCGAAGGCGGCAUCCUGGACCAUUACUGACGCUGAGGAGCGAAAGCCAGGGGAGCAAAGCGGG
rnacentral:rRNA from 1 species